rnacentral:rRNA from 1 species
UACGUAGGGUGCGAGCGUUGCCCGGAUUUAUUGGGCGUAAAGCGUGCGCAGGCGGCUUUGCAAGACAGAUGUGAAAUCCCCGGGCUUAACCUGGGAACUGCAUUUGUGACUGCAUGGCUGGAGUGCGGCAGAGGGGGAUGGAAUUCCGCGUGUAGCAGUGAAAUGCGUAGAUAUGCGGAGGAACACCGAUGGCGAAGGCAAUCCCCUGGGCCUGCACUGACGCUCAUGCACGAAAGCGUGGGGAGCAAACAGG